rnacentral:rRNA from 1 species
UGCAAGUCGAGCGCCCUUCGGGGAGCGGCGGACGAGCGAGUAACACGUUGGAACCUACCCCAAACUCAGGGAUAACAUUAAGAAAUUAAUGCUAAUACCGGAUAGUCCCGCAAGGGUAAAGAUUUAUCGGUUUGGGAGGGGCCUGCGUACCAUCAGCUUGUUGGUAAGGUAAUGGCUUACCAAGGCUUUGACGGUUAACUGGUCUGAGAGGAUGAUCAGUCGCGAUGGACUGAGACACGGCCCAU